rnacentral:rRNA from 1 species
CAGAAGAGGACAGUGGAACUCCAUGUGUAGCGGUGGAAUGCGUAGAUAUAUGGAAGAACACCAGUGGCGAAGGCGGCUGUCUAGUCUGUAACUGACGCUGAGGCUCGAAAGCAUGGGUAGCGAACAGGAUUAGAUACCCUGGUAGUCCAUGCCGUAAACGAUGAGUGCUAGGUGUUGGAGGGUUUCCGCCCUUCAGUGCCGCAGCUAACGCAUUAAGCACUCCGCCUGGGGAGUACGACCGCAAGGUUGAAACUCAAAGGAAUUGACGGGGGCCCGCACAAGCGGUGGAGCAUGUGGUUUAAUUCGAAGCUACGCGAAGAACCUUACCAGGUCUUGACAUACUAUGCAAAUCCUAGAGAUAGGACGUUCCCUUCGGGGACAUGGAUACAGGUGGUGCAUGGUUGUCGUCAGCUCGUGUCGUGAGAUGUUGGGUUAAGUCCCGCAACGAGCGCAACCCUUAUUAUCAGUUGCCAGCAUUAAGUUGGGCACUCUGGUGAGACUGCCGGUGACAAACCGGAGGAAGGUGGGGAUGACGUCAAAUCAUCAUGCCCCUUAUGACCUGGGCUACACACGUGCUACAAUGGACGGUACAACGAGUUGCGAAGUCGUGAGGCUAAGCUAAUCUCUUAAAGCCGUUCUCAGUUCGGAUUGUAGGCUGCAACUCGCCUACAUGAAGUUGGAAUCGCUAGUAAUCGCGGAUCAGCAUGCCGCGGUGAAUACGUUCCCGGGCCUUGUACACACCGCCCGUCACACCAUGAGAGUUUGUAACACCCAAAGCCGGUGAGAUAACCUUCGGGAGUCAGCCGUCUAAGGUGGGACAGAUGAUUAGGGUGAAGUCGUAAACAAGGUAGCCGUA